CGAGUCACAGCAUUCCAGCCUGGGCUACAAAGCAAGACUGCGUGUCAGAAAAAGAAAAGAAAAAUGGAUUCAAAGAUUUAUCACUGUUAAGUUCCACCAGCAAAUUAUUAAAUGUGGUUCCAAAGGGAUAUUUAAAAAGGGAAAUUAAAAUUGUUUCCAAGAAAGCCCUAUUCACAGCAGAAACGUAGACACUGUACCUGACCUCACCACACAAAGUUCCCUCAUGUGUUGGGAGGGACCAAGGGGCUCUCUGGUCCUGCACCUGCGUUAAUUAUGGCCGGGAGGUCCGCAGUAGGACCCUAAGGGCUAGGAACCAGCCUGGGUCAGGGGCAGAGAAGUGGUGGAUGUGGCUCCCAAAGUGGCUUAGGGGUUCCCUUCCCUGUGGCUGUUUCCUGACUGGAUGCAGCAGGGUCAGGCCUUUCAGUGUGACGUUUUCUACUCUUUAUUAGAGUGGCAGGAGCGUCCCUGUGCGAGGCCUGACCCAGGUGUGGGCCUUGCAGCCAGCUCGGGGUCCAAGGGGCACUCCUGCGGUGCUGCAAAGGAGGAUUUGUGACAACCCAGAGGAUGGAGGAAACGGCGGCUUUGAAAAGGCAAGUGCCAAGUUAUCAGGGAUCGCUUAUAUCCAUUUCUGGCAGUGAACUGACAAUUUCAGACACUCAGGAGGGAGCUUCCCGCGUGGGAUCACAAAAAGUCCGAGAAGUGUCAGACAUCUGGCCAUUAACCCCAUUCCUACGCAGGGACUACACUGCCGCUUGUCCGAAGGGGCGUGUCAGGGGCGGAGCGAGGAUGAGGGGCGGUGCCAAUAAAAGAGGCGGGGGAGAAGGGGCGGUGCUGAGGGGAGAGGCCGGGCCAAGGGAAGAAGCGUGCGAGAAAGGGUGGGGCGAGUCCAGCUACAGGAAGAGUAGCGUUACUAUGGCAACCCUGACAGGUUUGUGAGCAGCCCCCGGUCCCCUGCCGCUCCGUGAGAAAUCAAACUUCAGGCACUGACGAAGCAUGAAGCCAGCAUCUUAGGAAGAGGUAGUGACAUAAUUACAAGGGCGACCGGAUUACAAUCACAGCCAGCAUGAACAUGGGGCGGCGCACAGUCCUGAAGAGGAAAGCCGGGCUGUGUUGACCUCGCUGUGCAUGCUGGGAGUUGUAGUCUCUUCACUGCUCCCGCCCGUUGUUUCAGGCACUUCGGGACUACAAUCCCAGCAUGACCCGGGCUCGGGGACGGGGCGCAGUUCUCGUGGGAGGAGCGGGGCGGUGAGAGCCUGGCUAGGCAGGCUGGAAACAGUAGCUCUUAACGGUCCCCCGCCCGUUGGUGGCAAGGCGGCUGGACUGGAAUCCCAGCAGGCGACAUGCGAGGAGGCGGGCAGCCCAGGAGGGUUGGACACGGCAAUGUGGACCUCGCCGCUUCCACAACGAUGCUGGCUACUGAUCGCGUGCACUUCCUUGCCAAAGAAAAGAAAUUAAUGUUAUGACUGGAUGAAGACAAUUGUGAAGAAACUGCACUUUGAGGUUGUCUAUCUCUGUAUUCUGAUGGAAAAGCGUGGAGUUUAGAAGCACUGCUCACUCCUUCAGUUUCUAACAAGUUUGAGACUAUGGUUAGGUGGUGAGGAAGGCAGGCUCAGCACCCAAGCCUUGGGGAGACGCAGAAAGGGCCCAUCCCAGGCACUCAGGUGGAGCAGGUGGUCUGUCCUAGAGAACGUUCCAUGUGGAUUUGAGAAGAAUAUAUAUUCUCAUGUUGGAUGCAGUGCUGUGCAUAUGUUUGUUAGGUUUAGUUGUUUUAUGUUGUUGUUCAUGUUUUCUAUUUUUUAUCUUCUGUCUACUUGUUCUAUCCAUUAAUAUAAGUGAAGCAUUAAAGUCUCCAACUAUUACUGUUGAAUUA
rnacentral:lncRNA from 1 species